UACGAAGGGUGCAAGCGUUAAUCGGAAUUACUGGGCGUAAAGCGCGCGUAGGUGGUUCGUUAAGUUAGGAGUGAAAGCCCCGGGCUCAACCUGGGAAUUGCUUCUAAAACUGGCGAGCUAGAGUAUGGUAGAGGGUGGUGGAAUUUCCUGUGUAGCGGUGAAAUGCGUAGAUAUAGGAAGGAACAUCAGUGGCGAAGGCGACCACCUGGACUGAUACUGACACUGAGGUGUGAAAGCGUGGGGAGCAAACAGGAUUAGAUACCCUGGUAGUCCCUGA
rnacentral:rRNA from 1 species